CUAACAAGGAUACACUACUUAGG
rnacentral:snRNA from 1 species